CGAUUGAGUAAGUUAUGGACUACGGAGUUACUCAUGCUUUCACUUUGUAGUGAAUCAAACUUGCCUGAUCUGUUAAGUAAAGUAGUGAUUAUAUUAUAUAAUAAGAAGAAAGAAAAAAAUACAAUCUAAGCUUUUGCCAUGUAAAAGAAAAAGUAAUAAUACUAUUUGUCCCAAAAAAAAGAAGAAGAAUCUAACAGAGUAGACAACCCAAAAAAAGCAGUUCUUUAAAUCAUCUUUUCCUUUCAGUUAGAAGACAAAGCUUAAAAUUAGUUAGUUGAGGCAAUGGAACAUGUGUUGUUUACACAGAGAAGAAAAGAAUCGUCUUUCGUAGUCUAACAAAGCCGAGAUUUUAUGAACAAGAAUCACAAACACUCAGAACCCUCUUUUCACUUUAGUGGCGGAAACUUUGCAAAAUCGAAUAACAGAAACACACGAAAUUGAAGGUGAAAUUCAGAAAUCAAAAAAUUACCUGUUAAGCGAACCGAAACAAAGAAUCUGAAGAAGAGAAUCAAAGAGAGAGAGAGAGAGAGAGGAAGAUCCCAGAAUCAGAGGAUGGUCUAAUGAGGAAGCGACUAGUGUGGUGUAUUGGGGGGGUCUCCUCUUCUCUCCUUGGCUACUUCACUCACUUCACACUCACGUGUAAUCGAAGUUAAAACGGGCACUUUAUCCAGCGAUUAAGCUACGUGGCGCAUCGUGAUACGAGCACCUAGGAGGAACGGCACGGGGAAAGAGAGAGAGAUGAUACGUUUUGAUGGACGGUACACUUGUGGACUCCACCUUUCUGUGUGUUUGAUAUUUUUC
rnacentral:lncRNA from 1 species